CGGCCAGACUCCUACGGGAGGCAGCAGUGAGGAAUAUUGGUCAAUGGGCGAGAGCCUGAACCAGCCAAGUCGCGUGAGGGAAGACGGUCCUAUGGAUUGUAAACCUCUUUUGCCGGGGAGCAAAAAGCGGUACGUGUACCGCAUCGAGAGUACCCGGAGAAAAAGCAUCGGCUAACUCCGUGCCAGCAGCCGCGGUAAUACGUAGGUGGCAAGCGUUGUCCGGAAUUACUGGGUGUAAAGGGAGCGCAGGCGGGAAGCCAAGUCAGCUGUGAAAACUACGGGCUUAACUUGUAGACUGCAGUUGAAACUGGUUUUCUUGAGUGAAGUAGAGGUUGGCGGAAUUCCGAGUGUAGCGGUGAAAUGCGUAGAUAUUCGGAGGAACACCGGUGGCGAAGGCGGCCAACUGGGCUUUAACUGACGCUGAGGCUCGAAAGUGUGGGGAGCAAACAGGAUUAGAUACCCCCGUA
rnacentral:rRNA from 1 species